rnacentral:rRNA from 1 species
ACGAACGCUAGCGGCAGGCAUAAUACAUGCAAGUUGAACGGCAGCACAGGUAGCAAUACCGGGUGGCGAGUGGCGCGCGGGUGCGUAACACGUAUGCAACCUACCCUAUACAGGCGAAUAACCUUUAGAAAUGAGGGCUAAUACGCCGUGGUAUUAUCUUGGGGCAUCUUGAGAUAAUUAAAGAUUUAUCGGUAUAGGAUGGGCAUGCGUCCCAUUAGUUAGUUGGUAGGGUAACGGCCUACCAAGGCGAUGAUGGGUAGGGG